rnacentral:rRNA from 1 species
GAUGAACGCUGGCGGCAGGCCUAACACAUGCAAGUCGAGCGGCAGCGCGUCCGACCACCCUCGGGUGGUCGGAUGGCGGCGAGCGGCGGACGGGUGAGGAAUGCAUCGGAAUCUGCCUCGUUGUGGGGGAUAACGUAGGGAAACUUACGCUAAUACCGCAUACGACCUACGGGUGAAAGUGGGGGACCUUCGGGCCUCACGCGAUGAGAUGAGCCGAUGCCGGAUUAGCUAGUUGGCGGGGUAAAGGCCCACCAAGGCGACGAUCCGUAGCUGGUCUGAGAGGAUGAUCAGCCACACUGGAACUGAGACACGGUCCAGACUCCUACGGGAGGCAGCAGUGGGGGAAUAUUGGACAAUGGGGGGCAACCCUGAUCCAGCCAUGCCGCGUGUGUGAAGAAGGCC